rnacentral:lncRNA from 1 species
UUCAAUGAAAAUGACCCUUUCUUCCAGGCCGCCAUUCAACGUGCUUCACUUCGUCUUCGCGAGUCUCACUCUCCAGGUUUUAAAUUCACCACAAUCACUGCUACCCUCUUCUAAUUUGGAUUCAGCUCCAAUUGUUCAUAUGAUGAAAUUGAGCACAAUAAUUUGUUAUUUGAUGAAAUUGAGCACAAUAAUUUGUUAUUUGAUGAUGCGCACAUACUUUUGAAGGAUGUCUGUCUAUCUGUUGCUUUUGCAGAUCCUCUCCUUAUCGACCCAUAUGUUGGCUGCCUUCUUCCUUAUAAUACUCCCGAAGACAUGGAGG